rnacentral:rRNA from 1 species
UACGGGGGGGGCAAGCGUUGUUCGGAAUUACUGGGCGUAAAGGGCGCGUAGGCGGCCUACUAAGUCGGACGUGAAAUCCCUCGGCUCAACCGAGGAACUGCGUCCGAUACUGGCGAGGCUUGAAUUCGGGAGAGGGAUGUGGAAUUCCAGGUGUAGCGGUGAAAUGCGUAGAUAUCUGGAGGAACACCGGUGGCGAAGGCGGCAUCCUGGACCGAGAUUGACACUGAGGAGCGAAAGCCAGGGGAGCAAACGGG